GCCCUCGUAGCUCAGCGGUAGAGCGUUGGACUCACAUGUAGAGAUAUAUGUGGGAACAAUCCUUGAUUGCUAGAGCAAUCCGAAGACUCUGGUUCGUUUUCCAGACGAAAGCG